AACAAAUAUCAUGUGGAGAAAACAGCAUGUGGACGCGGCAGUCUCACUUCCGGGUUCUGCUUCUUCUUCUUGCUUACGAAUUGGUGAAUUACCGCCACCUACUGGGUCAAGGGUCAGGGCUGCCAGCAGCCAUUGGGUGAGAGGUCAUCACAGGACAAGACAGGAUGUUCACAGACUGUUCUGGGUAGCGAAACUUUGAAAAUGUUUUGUUAAAUAUUAAAGUAAAAUUUGUCACACCAAACAGUUGGACUCAGACUGUUUGUGAUGGUUCUUAAAUCUGUUAUUCUUCAGCCUCUAAAUUACCUCUGUUCCUUUACAGAGCAACUUCAGUUACUCUGUAAAGGAACAAUCAGCUCCUACGAGAACACAUUGACCUCCAAAACCCGGAAACUGAGAACAGCUCCAGUUUAUAUUUAACCUUCUAAACUAUUUUAUUGAUAUAUUGAAAAAACAAAUACAUACAAACAUCUUUCACAUAGUUUAACUCCUCAACAAGAGCUGCAUUGAAAUGCUCGUGAUAUGUUCCGGCACUACAGCAGAGUAAACAUCUGAUUAAAGGAACAGUUCACCUGUUCUGAGAAACAGACACGUUGCAGAUAAGCUUCAGGCUCUGUGUUGGUAUGAGUGUCGCCAGUCUGUAUAUUUCAGAAGGAUGUUGCUGCAUGCAGAGUGAAGGUAGAAGGGAAGGGCCACUGCCCUCAGGGCUCCUCAGAAGAACAAAGUCUGAUCCCUCAACACAUUUUACUGACAAACAGGUUUCAAUAAUACUUCAAUACCACUGCAAAGCAAACAGAAAACACAGAAAUCAGCAUCUGAAGACAGAAAGGUUUCAGCAGAUGUCUGCAGGUUGGAGAGCAGAAAGAGAGCUUGGCCUCAGCCUGAUCUGUAAACUGGUAAAAGUGUUCAUCAUGAUGUUGUCACGUACAUGGAGCUGGAGCAGAACAGCACAUGUCUGGGUUGGUGUAGUAGCACUCAGAAUAUUAAGAGCUGCACAGUCUUUAUUUUACAGUCUGGGUGUUGACGAGGCGUUCGGGGGAAGGCACUGUGGCGUCUGAUUGGUCGAGAUCAGCCAGCAGCCUCUCUCAGUUGGCUCAGGGCGGGGCAAA